AUUCCGCCAGCGGUGGGCGGUUGCCACAGCUGGUUUAGGGCCCCGACUAUUGGGGCCCCUUGUCAGGAGGAGGCACCCUCCCUGUCAGGGAGAAGUCGCUACCACCUCUGGCUGCUGACGAGAUCCCCCGGGACAGUGUGCACUUUCUGCCCCCAGUUGCCGGCCGAGUUCAGUGUCCCUUGUUCAGGUAACAAGGGGUGGGGGUGGGGGUCUCCGGGGCUCGGCUCUCUGGAGGGCUGCAUCCCCCUUCAGCUCCGCCGGGACCCAGGGACGUUGGCACCGCCCUGCUCAGCUCGCCAGCCACGGAGCCCCUGGCCGGGGGUGACUACACGUGGCGGGGCGUGUGUGAGUGUGUACGAGCGUGUGGACGCGUGUGCGUGUGGAUGUGGCGCGCGUCCCAGCCAGCCUGGGGCGGUGGUCGGCUGCGUGGCGGAGGCAGGGCGGGCCUCCUGAGGACGAGCCCGCUGCACAGCCCUGGCUUCUGGCGCUAAGCUGCUGAACCAGGUCGCUGCUUUCUGACGGAUUUUAAUUUUCCUUCUCCCAGGUUGGGUCCCCCUUCCUAGUCUGUGUUCUUCUGCUGGGUCAGUUUAUGGAGGCGGGGGGAGGGGGGAGAUUGUUUUCCAGGUUAGUUUUACACAAAGGAAGUGAUCUUUGCACCUCUGGGGCCCCCUCCCCUUUCCCAAGCCUUACACCUUUCCAUCUUGUUGCUAGGCUCUUAGUCCCCUUUUGGACCUUUGCCCUCUCUAGCUCGGGAAUGCUCUCUGGCUGGUUGUUUCUUGCUCAUCGGGCUGCAGGCUUCCGCCUCAUUCUUGCCAGCAUGGGGCAUGUGGUGCCAGUAAGUAGAGGACACAGCCCAGCACCUGAGAGAAGAGGAGGAUGACAGUGGCUGGGAAAGGCGAGGCCCGGAAAUCCAGGAUGCUGAAUGGAGCUAUGAUACUGGUGAAAUGUCCUAGAAAGCCCCCAAGGGACUUUUCUUAGCUGCUGCCACCGCCCUCAGCCACCCCCAACCCCAGCAUCAGUUGCCAACCAUCCCAGGAUCUCUCCUGUUUAAGGAAGCCUUUUUAUCUACAAUAUGAUGUGGGCUCACAAAUGUUAAACUAGACCAGCCAGAAGAUUUCAUUUCGGACUCCAGAAGUUACAGAAGGUUUGAUUAGGGGAAAUCUGUUUUGUGGAAAUACAAUGUGUGUAUGCUUCCAGAAUGCCCUGAACAGCUUACCCCAGCCAGAGGGUUACUUGUUCCUUCCUGUGAGUAAUAUUUGAAUAUUGAAGAAAGAAGGAGAGGUAGAGGAGGUAUGGGAAGGGCUACUUAGGGACAAAGGACAACAACAACAACAACAAACAUUAUUUUUAUAGAUAUCUUUCUUUAGGUGACUAAAGAACAUGGUGGUACAGUAGAAAGUACAAAGGGUGGCUACUUCCAGAAUUCCUACUUAUUUCCAAGACUCAUAUCAUCAUAGCUCAUCAAAAUCACCAGCAUGGGUUUAGAAACAGGAUUGAUUAAGAAAUAUCAGUCCCCUCCCCCUCUGGAGAACUGGUUUGUUUGUUUGUUUGUUUGUUUUCCUCCUUAGAGACCAAACAGAGAUCAGAAAUAAAAUUUUCAAACUUUCCUGCUCUUUCAAGCAGUGCUCAUCUUUCUGUCUUUGGGAAAUGAGGGUUCAGUUGUAUUUUGUCACUCUUGUCUCAACACCUUACCCCUUUCUUUUUCUUAGGGCUCUUGAUAAUGUUUGACCCAGUGGCAACACUAGUAGACGACCUGAUUUUAAAGCUGACCUCAGCCUCUGCAUCUUCUCUCGAGUAGUCCCAAAGCCCAUCUUGGACCAGGAACUGUAAUCAUGUCUGUGAUGGUGGUAAGAAAGAAGGUGACACGGAAAUGGGAGAAACUCCCAGGCAGGAACACCUUCUGCUGUGAUGGCCGCGUCAUGAUGGCCCGGCAAAAGGGCAUCUUCUACCUGACCCUCUUCCUCAUCCUGGGGACAUGUACACUCUUCUUUGCCUUCGAGUGAGUUUUCAUUGAACACAAUUGUCUCCUUAUGGUUAAUUUGGGUCCAAGGAAUGACAGUACCUCCUGGGCAUUUGUGGUGGUUCUUGCAUGAUUUUACUCUUCUGUUGAACGAUAUCUAUAGGUUGUGUUUAAUUGAAUUCACUACUUUGUGGUUAUAGUAGAAUAUGCACUUCCUAAAAAGGCCAAGAAUUUUAAUAUCAAUUUCAUAGUCCUGAUGUGGGGAUAUUCCUGACAAAGUUUGUCAUAAAAAUUCACGUCCUUUCACUGACAGUAACUUAAUGAUAAAUGACUUCUUUUCAACCCUUCCCAACUCUGGGAGUAACCCUUGUUGUUAUAACACCCCUCACCAAUAUCCACUUCAUCUGCUAUUCAGGGUACCAUUUCUGUAAGCCCUAGUUCUUACCUAGCUGUUCAUUUGAAAACCAAACUGAGUUGAGAACCUGAAGAUUGGUCCCAGCAUCAGCUGUACCACAAGGGAGCUGUGGGAACGCCAUAUAGGUGCUUUUGAAAUGUGGGUUGUUCUUUCUUUCCAAAAUCACUCAGCAUCCCAAGGCUACAUAGAGAAACUCUGUCUC
rnacentral:lncRNA from 1 species